AUGUUAUUGAGACAUAUUUUCUACGUUGGAACCAAGCAGUUUAUUGUCGGGUUUGUCCCGAUGUAAGCUGCAUAAACAAUAGCAUAAGUAAUAGCAACAUUAGAAUUUUCCGAGUAUAGACCCAACCGUUACCAACGACCGAUUGAUUGUACAUUUCAAAAAUCGCCAAAUCGGAAAAAUUAGUUAAUGUAAACGAAUGUUAUUACGAUUAAAAGUACGCCAAGACCACAACGGGUCGACCGAGACUUAUUUAUCAUCUCCAUGCAUAAAAUAACGCAAACCAAAAACAUAUAAUUUGCAAUGUAUAGUUGACAGUUAAAUCACAUUUGUAUUGUUAUUGUGUUU